rnacentral:rRNA from 1 species
UACAGAGGUCCCAAGCGUUGUUCGGAUUCACUGGGCGUAAAGGGUGCGUAGGUGGUUAGGUAAGUCUAAUGUGAAAUCUCCGAGCUUAACUCGGAAACCGCAUCGGAUACUAUCUAGCCUGAGGGCUGGAGGGGGGACUGGAAUGCUUGGUGUAGCAGUGAAAUGCGUAGAUAUCAAGUGGAACACCAGUGGCGAAGGCGAGUCCCUGGACAACUCCUGACACUGAGGCACGAAAGCUAGGGGAGCAAACAGG